rnacentral:rRNA from 1 species
AACUUUCAACAACGGAUCUCUUGGUUCUGGCAUCGAUGAAGAACGCAGCGAAAUGCGAUAAGUAAUGUGAAUUGCAGAAUUCAGUGAAUCAUCGAAUCUUUGAACGCACAUUGCGCCCCCUGGUAUUCCGGGGGGCAUGCCUGUUCGAGCGUCACA